rnacentral:lncRNA from 1 species
GGGUCACUAGCAGGUUUCUUCCCACCCUGGGUCUCUUCCUGACUUAUCAGCAUGCAUCCUUCCUUUAUUAUCAGACAAACUGGGAGCUUUUGCUGGAGAAACACGUCCUGUGGCUACACGCUGGGUAAGUGUCUAUGUCCACCGUGCCGUUUCUUCCCUCCUGUCUACGUCUCACCAUCAGGGCCGUGGCCACCCCAGGACAAGAGUUAAGACCUUGCCAGGGACUAGGUCUUAGCCUGGGGGCAUCUGUGGUGCGCUUGCAGGCCCGGGACCCAGGAUCUAAUAGCAUCUUGUGUGGAAAGGAAUGAAGAGGGGUCGUCCUUUGUCCUUGACUCCGGUUUUCGCGGUGAUUGUGGAAGGAGGUGAGAUAUUCCCCCGACAUGCAAAGAACUGACGCCUGCGGCGGUUUCUCGGACGGUCUCCCAGCCCUCAGGGUGAUCAUUUAUUGCACCACAGUCCACGGAAGCUUCUCUCACAAGAGCCUGGUACGACCCUGGCAACCUGUGCACAGCAUGGCGUCUGUCUUCCAGUCACAGGAAGUAACAGAGGGCAGAGAAAUCCCCAAGUGGACCCUCUGCAGGCACUGCUGCGCAGCUCCUGCGUGCUGGUGUGCGCUGGGAGCGAGGCCUUCAGACCCCUGGCAGUGGAGAGAGCCCAGAAAAGCGGGACUGAAGCUUUAUCUGCCCUGACUUCAAGCACCAAGCACGGCGAGUCGCUUUGUACUUACUUGUCUGUACUCCACACGGUACAUGGUUUCCCCAUGCGAGAUGCGUGGGGUGGGGGUGGUUGUGCAGGGCGGACAAGCGUCCCACACAAUUCAGGAAAGGCAUCCAGCCAUUCUGGGGUCUCUCGUGCCUCCUCUUCACCACCAUCAACCUUAAUUCGGGCGAACAUUUGAUGGGGAUAUGAGAGAGCAGAGCAUGGUGCUUAAAGGCACCGGAAUUAAGGAUCUUGAGCUCAAAAUGUCUAGGGUCUAAAAUCACUUCUAUUUAAGAAGCGCAGAGGGCUGUGUACGGGGUGGUCACAGCCUGCAUGAAUCGUGGCUCAGUCUAGUUCCAGAGAUGAAAUGAGAAAGCACCUGGGGAUCCAGUGUCCUAGGCCCACGUUCCUCUCUCCCCA